rnacentral:lncRNA from 1 species
AUCAGGGACCAAACCACCUUGGCGAUUAGGUCAACACUUAACCUAAUCGGGUCAAACCCAACUGAAUCCAAUUCAAUUGGACUUGAUCCAAAAAUAAUUACUCAAUCAAAUUGAGUUAAUUAGUGAUCAAAUUACUAAUUAAAUCUCUCAUAAAUAUUGAGUCCAAAUUCGAUGGGCAAUCAGGUAUCAGAUUCCAUCGAUAUGAAACCCUAAUCAAAAAGUCUCAAACCAGUGGGACUCUUGACCCCGGUACCCAAAAUGUGUGAAACUCAUGAUUAGAGAAUCCUGAUUCUCGAUCACAAAAUUUUAGACAUGUAGGACUCAAAGUCUACGAGCAUUAAGACUCUUCAUCAGCCAUCAGAUCAGAUAGGAACCUCUAAUGUGUGUGACCCCGCAGGUUCGAACCUAAGCUGGUAGCACAGGAACUAAUUUCUGUACUAAUCGAAGUGACCAUCUAGCAAUGGUACCCGAUAUCCGGA